CGACGUGGAUAACCUGCCUCACACAGGGGGAUAACAGUUAGAAAUGACUGCUAAUACCGCAUAAGCGCACGGCAUCGCAUGAUGCAGUGUGAAAAACUCCGGUGGUGUGAGAUGGAUCCGCGUCUGAUUAGGUAGUUGGUGGGGUAACGGCCUACCAAGCCGACGAUCAGUAGCCGACCUGAGAGGGUGACCGGCCACAUUGGGACUGAGACACGGCCAA
rnacentral:rRNA from 1 species